CAGAUUAUCCGGAAGGAUGGCUCCGUGCGCAGGUCCUGGGGCCGGGGUCCUAGGGCGGUGGUCACAGGGCUGAGACUAAAAACAAACCCUGAGAAGUAGUCGCCCAGGCCCCGAGCCCCAGGAUUUCCGGCCUGCGACGUGAGGCCAUGCUGGAGCACGAAGGAUGGUGGUCAGACAGGACAGACACUGGCUCUGAACAGGACCUCCCUCUUCCCUCCUCCCCCACCUCGGACUCGGGAGUUCCUGCUGUCCCCCUUCCCGAUGACCGGUGACGCACAUCCCCUCCUCUUCCCGAGUCCAUUUAUAAGCCCCCGCCGGCCGGCAGGCGCCCAGAGGGGAGUGGAACAGCCCAGGGCCAGUGUGGCCACUGUGGAGGCGUCGGGGGGUGCGCUGGGGGGGGUGGAGAGAGGAUUCCACAAAUGCUGGAAAAGUCCCUGCUCUGACCUUUAGCGCCAGCCAGCCAAUGAGAAGGGGGAAACGCUUAGUGGGCUGGACCACAGAGGGCUAGGGUAGUUAACUCGUUAACGCGACGAAACAACCUCGACCCAUUCAUCGCAAUUUUCCAACUUCCAAUGGAAGAUCUGUUUGGAUGUUAUUUUAUUUUGUUCCCCAGUCUAACACAGUACCUGACACACAGUACCCACCCAUUGGAAUUCAGGGUGGGGAAGGUUGUGGAUAUGAUGGUGGUGAUGGGGCCACCACCAGAGAAGGACCAUUUGUUUUACUCCAUUAGCUCCUUCCUCUUCUGUCUGCCCCUUGGCAUUGUGGCUGUGGCCUGGUCCCUACAGGUAUGACCCCUCUUUGAUUCACCUGCUUCUUCCCCAGACCACCAGUCCCCACCCUCUCCACUCCAUAACCUGUCCUUUUCUCCAUGUCCCCCUUCCCCAGGUAUUUUUUUGCCUGGGUCCUGUCCCUGACUCAGUCUCCCCUUCCAUGAACACACAGGCUGUCUCCCUUUACCCAUUGCCUCUGCUCCCCCUAAACUAGACACUCCAACAGGCAAGGUGCUCUCUAGUUUUCCAUCUUGACCUUCACCCUGGGCAUCAUUACUUACUGCAUUCUCCCUAUCUCUGGUCUACUCAUUCCCGCCAUGACUGAGGAAGAUGACCACCUACAGAAAUCAACCAGCCUUUUCCCUUAUCCAUUCCCCCCAAGUUGGUACCCCAUAUUACAACCAAUUCUUCAAAGCCUCUUCCACUACCUCACCUGGAGCAAGGGGACAGAGACUCCCAAUCCCAAUUAUUUCACCUUUCACCCCUGCACUGACCCUAACUCUCCCUCCCCAGAUUCACCUGGGAUAUGAGUGAAACACCCCCCCCCG
rnacentral:lncRNA from 1 species